CCUUUGACGUUAGCGGCGGACGGGUGAGUAACACGUGGGUAACCUACCUAUAAGACUGGGAUAACUUCGGGAAACCGGAGCUAAUACCGGAUAAUAUUUCGAACCGCAUGGUUCGAUAGUGAAAGGUGGUUUUGCUAUCACUUAUAGAUGGACCCGCGCCGUAUUAGCUAGUUGGUAAGGUAACGGCUUACCAAGGCGACGAUACGUAGCCGACCUGAGAGGGUGAUCGGCCACACUGGAACUGAGACACGGUCCAGACUCCUACGGGAGGCAGCAGC
rnacentral:rRNA from 1 species